UGGGAGGAUCCUACCCUCAAGGUCGGUAAAUAUCGGGUUAGGAGGUCAAGCAAAAAUCGAAGUCGAUGAUGUAGGGUUGCUUUGUUGUGGUUCCUCAGGUCUUUCCCCGAUCCUCGAAGCCUUCUCAACGGCAAGUACUCGAUCGUAAUCCGAAGAGGAGAUGUUGGAUCGGAUGGUGGAUAACCUCCACAACAUAUGCUAUUGAUGUUUCUUCAGGCUUUAUGGUUCACGAUUCUGCAAGUGAUGAU
rnacentral:lncRNA from 1 species